UACGUAGGGUGCAAGCGUUAAUCGGAAUUACUGGGCGUAAAGCGUGCGCAGGCGGUUUUGUAAGUCUGACGUGAAAUCCCCGGGCUCAACCUGGGAGUUGCGUUGGAGACUGCAAGGCUAGAAUCUGGCAGAGGGGGGUAGAAUUCCACGUGUAGCAGUGAAAUGCGUAGAGAUGUGGAGGAACACCGAUGGCGAAGGCAGCCCCCUGGGUCAAGAUUGACGCUCAUGCACGAAAGCGUGGGGAGCAAACAGG
rnacentral:rRNA from 1 species